GCUAUCCAUAAACUACGUCACACGAAUUUUAGGACUUUUGAACCCCUCCCCCCGUCCUUGUCAUAGGUUGUCACAUUUUUAUAACCCCCCCUCCUGAUGUGACGUCACACAUUUUUUGAAGUUAUACUUCUUUGGCG